GCGCCAUUAGUACAGUGGUCAGUAUAUUUGCUUCCCAUCUGAUCUUGGAACAGCAAGGGACCCGAGUUCGAAUCUCGGAUGGCGCA